AUAUGGAGGGGGCUAGCGUUGUUCGGAAUUACUGGGCGUAAAGCGCGCGUAGGCGGAUCGUUAAGUCAGGGGUGAAAGCCCGGAGCUCAACUCCGGAACUGCCCUUGAUACUGGCGAUCUCGAGUCCGAGAGAGGUGAGCGGAAUUCCUAGUGUAGAGGUGAAAUUCGUAGAUAUUAGGAGGAACACCAGUGGCGAAGGCGGCUCACUGGCCCGGUACUGACGCUGAGGUGCGAAAGCGUGGGGAGCAAACAGGAUUAGAAACCCUAGUAGUCC
rnacentral:rRNA from 1 species